rnacentral:rRNA from 1 species
GCAUACGCUACGGCGAGCCUAACACCCUGCCAGGUCGCAAGUGGCAGCACAUAUAAGCUUGCUUAUAGGGUGGCGACCGGCGCACGGGUGCGUAACGCGUAUACAAUCUACCUUAUGCUGAGGGAUAGCCCAGAGAAAUUUGGAUUAACCCCUCAUGGUAUUAGAGAGUGGCAUCAUUUUUUAAUUAAAGGUUACGGCAUAAGAUGAGUAUGCGUCCCAUUAGCUAGUUGGUAGGGUAACGGCUUACCAAGGCUACGAUGGGUAGGGGUCCUGAGAGGGAGAUCCCCCACACUGGUACUGAGACACGGACCAGACUCCUACGGGAGGCAGCAGUGAGGAAUAUUGGACAAUGGGCGGAAGCCUAAUCCAGCCAUGCCGCGUGCAGGAAGACGGCCCUAUGGGUUGUAAACUGCUUUUAAACGGGAAGAAUAAGACCUACGUGUAGGUUGAUGACGGUACCGUAAGAAUAAGGACCGGCUAACUCCGUGCCAGCAGCCGCGGUAAUACGGAGGGUCCGAGCGUUAUCCGGAAUUAUUGGGUUUAAAGGGUCCGUAGGCGGGCUAUUAAGUCAGGGGUGAAAGUUUGCAGCUCAACUGUAAAAUUGCCUUUGAUACUGGUAGUCUUGAGUUGUAUUGAAGUGGCUGGAAUAUGUAGUGUAGCG